rnacentral:rRNA from 1 species
CCUACGGGAGGCAGCAGUGGGGAAUAUUGCACAAUGGGGGAAACCCUGAUGCAGCAACGCCGCGUGAGUGAAGAAGUAUCUCGGUAUGUAAAGCUCCAUUAGUAGGGAAGAAGAUUACGGUACCUGUAUCAUAAGCCCCGGCUAACUACGUGCCAGCAGCCGCGGUAACAUGGAGGGGGCAAGCGUUAUCCGGAUUUACUGGGUGUAAAGGGAGCGCAGGCGGCAGUGCAAGCCUGGAGUGAAAGCCCGGGGCCCAACCCCGGAACUGCACUGGAAACUGUGCGGCUAGAGUGCUGGAGGGGCAGGCGGAAUUCCUGGUGUAGCGGUGAAAUGCGUAGAUAUUAGGAGGAACACCAGUGGCGAAGGCGGCCUGCUGGACAGUAACUGACGCUGAGGCUCGAAGGCGUGGGGAGCAAACAGGAUUAGAUACCCGGGUAGUC